rnacentral:tRNA from 1 species
GGGUAUAUAGCUCAGUGGUAGAGCUCAUGCUUAGCAUCCACAGGGUCCUGGGUUCAAUCCCCAGUAACUCCA